UUAGUACUCCCUCUGUCCCAAAUUUCUUAUCUUAAAUUUGUCUAGAUACGGAUGUAUCUAAUACUAAAAUGUGACUUGAUACAUCCAUAUAUAGACAAAUCUAAGACAAGAAUUUUGAGACGGAGGGAGUACUUG
rnacentral:pre_miRNA from 1 species